GGCCGUACCAUGCUGAAUAUACCGGUUCUCGUUAGAUCACCGAAGUUAAGCAUCAUUGGGCGCGGUCAGUACUUGGGUGGGUGACCACCUGGGAACACUGCGUGCAGU
rnacentral:rRNA from 1 species